GGCAUUGUCCCAAGAUUGGAAUGAAUUGUUCUAAGAACUGUGGGGAGAGCAUAUCUGAAAUCACUCCUUUAGAAGCUGCUGGAGGCUUGGGACCAUGGAACGGUAAAAUGUCAACUUGAAGGAAAUUAAGGGAUUCAAACCAUGAGCUUGACCUUAGAGAGAGAAGGCUGAUUCCUGAGUGACGCCAGUGGAGGGAACCACAGCCACAGUGGAUCUAGGCAGAGGAAACUAUCUGAGCACAAAGCUUCAGAGGUUCCCAAACCAGCUGAAAGCUGAAACAAGAAAGAGCAGGACAGAUAGGUCUUCAUUCCAGUGUACAGGUGACAGGUCAUGUGUGUUCUCUGAAAGCCAUUGAGCCAAUGUCACAUAGUGGUUUACAUCUGACCUUGGAAGCAGACUGUGAAGGGUCACAAUGCUGAUCCUGUCACUUCCCACUGCGUGAACUCCGGAAUCUCAUCUCUGAGAUUCAACUCUCUGAGCCUCAUCUGCAAAAUGGGGCUAGAACCCAACUCCCAAGGUUGUGUGAAGAGUCAAUGAGCAAGUACAAGCCCACCUGGCACACAGGGAAGGCUCGACUAUAGAGCUCCUGUUACUCCUACCCCAUGAGCCUCUGGGAGGAGCAUAUGAGACACUACAUCUGUAAACAUCUGUGAAGACUGCAAACCGCCAUGCAAUCUCAAGGGGUCGUCAGUUUGUUUAAUUCUCCAUGAGACCUACCUCCAUAGUUCAUCAGAGGUCUGGACAAAAUCUCAAACCACAGUGGAAAGGAGUGCUCCUUCUGUAUCCGGAUGGGUACCUACAACUUGUGUUUUCAGGAACUUGGAGGACAAAGUGACUUCUUUGAACGCAUCUGGUCAGCAAUGCUAUCGGAAGACGGGCUUCUCCCCAAGGCCCGGCGGUAUCAUCGACUUACA
rnacentral:lncRNA from 1 species